rnacentral:rRNA from 1 species
UACAGAGGUCUCAAGCGUUGUUCGGAUUCAUUGGGCGUAAAGGGUGCGUAGGCGGCGCGGUAAGUCGGGUGUGAAAUCUCGGAGCUUAACUCCGAAACUGCAUUCGAUACUGCCGUGCUUGAGGACUGGAGAGGAGACUGGAAUUUACGGUGUAGCGGUGAAAUGCGUAGAUAUCGUAAGGAAGACCAGUGGCGAAGGCGAGUCUCUGGACAUUUCCUGACGCUGAGGCACGAAAGCCAGGGGAGCAAACGGG